GGGUCAGUAGGUUGGUCGUGCCACCGGUACGUACUGGUCUCACUGAUUCCUCCUUCCUGAAGAACCGUAAUGCCAUUAAUCUGGUGUUGCGGGGAAACAAGACUGUUACUUUGAAAAAAUUAGAGUGUUUAAAGCAAGCUAACGCUUGAAUACAUUAGCAUGGUAUAAUGAAAUAGGACGAUCGAUCCUAUUUUGUUGGUUUCUAGGAUUGACGUA
rnacentral:rRNA from 1 species